UCUGGUGUCCUAGGCGUAGAGGAACCACACCAAUCCAUCCCGAAUUUGGUGGUUAAACUCUACUGCGGUGACGAUACUGUAGGGGAGGUCCUGCGGCAAAAUAGCUCGAUGCCAGAAU
rnacentral:rRNA from 1 species